UACGGAGGGUGCGAGCGUUGUCCGGAAUUACUGGGCGUAAAGAGCUCGUAGGUGGUUUGUCGCGUUGUUCGUGAAAUCUCACGGCUUAACUGUGAGCGUGCGGGCGAUACGGGCAGACUGGAGUACUGCAGGGGAGACUGGAAUUCCUGGUGUAGCGGUGGAAUGCGCAGAUAUCAGGAGGAACACCGGUGGCGAAGGCGGGUCUCUGGGCCGAUACUGACGCUGAGGAGCGAAAGCGUGGGGAGCGAACAGG
rnacentral:rRNA from 1 species